UCAAAUAUGAAAAUGAGUCCAACCCUGAAAGCACUUGGAGCCUUGUUAACAUGGCUGCAAUUAUUCUUGAAGCAUUUAGAGGACAAUGUUUGGUUUGAGAUAAUAUUAGGCACCUUUAGGACCCAUUCAUCUCAACCAGAGCUGUGCGAGCAGGAUAUCUCAGCUGCAUGCACCAGAUUGACUCCACAUGUGCAGCACUUGUGAUGCUGGUUGGGCAUUGCCACCUGCGUUACUACCUGGCUUGCAGAGCUCCAUUCUUGAAACGCAAAGAGCUCUGAGCUGAAGAUAUCCCUGAAACAUAUCACCAUACCAGCUGAUCAUGUAGCGGCAGUAUGUCUGCUCUGGCAGUCACAGUUCAUUCCUAUUGUCACUUAGCCCCAUUCUCCUCUGGUCAGAGCCACCUCCUCAGUGAUGCUGUGCUACACUUAUCCCAAGCAUCUUUGACUCCAAAUUGGUUGAAGCAAUCAGAGCUGAUGCAGGAGUCCAUGGUCUGGCUCCAGGGAAGUAGGAGACCCUGUACUGGUUUCUGAUCGGUGGGAACCUGCAAGCUCUGUGUUACCUUUACAGAUUCCGUUCCACCUUCAUCUCCAUGUGGCCUAGCAGCAUGUGGUCCUUAAAUUCUGUUCUUCCUUUCAGUUCUUCUUUUCAGUGAUUUACUCUGUGGCUUUAGGAAGAGUACUUACUAUCUGUGUGCCUGAAUUUUCCCAACAUAACCUGGGUGUAUUAAUUAAACAACUUCCUCGGAGGGGCGUUGUAAGGUUUAAUGAAUUCGUGCUUGCAAAGUAAUUUAAGAUUUCAGAUGAAAACUGCUAGAGAAGUGCAAAGAGCAUUAUAAUUAAAACAGAGAGGAUCCGAAAUAAUUAUUAUUUUGAAGCUCUUGAUCAUAGUAAGAGGGGAAUAUUUAUGUUUGAAGUUGCUAAUAAAAACAUCAAUCACUGUAUUACGAAGCACACGUUUUUUAGUUAAAUAGCAUUAGUUAGUACUCUGCUAUUUAUUAUUCCACUUACUAUUUCCAAUGUCUUUGCAGAGAAAGAAAAAUGUAUUAACUUAAAUUGAUUUUCUCCAGAUUUAUAUCAAAUGGAGAUACCACUGUGCCCAAAAUAUGUCAGCCUACAAUGCCUGUGCCCCCCUCCACAACUUGGAGGCUGCAGCACCCUAGGCAGGAGGAGAUCUGCUGUGAGGUUAGUGCAGGCAUUCAGCUUGAGAAGAGGAGUGGGAACUGAGCUGCCUUGCAGAGAGGGACAAGUCCUCAGAUACUGCAAAAAGAAAUGUGUGUGACGACUGGAUAUUAACCUUCACUUGAGUUUCUGCAAGUAUAUUGCUAUGAUGAGAAGAUGUUCCUUCCUCCAUUUUCACAAAUAUGAGAAGGAUAAAGCCAGGACGGAUACACUGUACCUGGUUGAAGAGAGUGCUGGAAGAGAAAAAUUGCUACAGUCAGCAAUCCAACAAAAAAAGGCAUUGCGGAGGCUCUCUGCCAGAAGACCAAAGGUGCUGGCUGAAGUGAUGGAUCAACCCUCUCCUCAGCAUCCACAUCUUGCUUGUUGGCUCUUCAGCACAAGAUGACCGAAGACCGCUAACAUGGAGACACCAGGAACUUGUCACUGCAAAGGAAGCAGAUGUGAAGAUGCAGCACCCUGAUACUUUUGACCUACGUCGUCUGACUGCUCUUGAGGAAACUGGUGGGAAAGCUGAAAAGAGUACAGAAGUGUGCCCCUUUUCAUUCAGAACCAAGCAUCUCAUAUUGCCCGGCUCCAGAUAGUGAAAGAAAAACUCUUAUUAGGUUAGCAGCAGCUCAGCUGCAAGCAACUGCUAAAGCAAAAGCGUGCAGUGGCUUGAGAGUUACAAGAGAACUAUUUGGAGUCCUUCCACAGUGGAUUAAGAAGAUAAACUUAUUGCAGUGCCUUCUAUGGCAAUUAAAUGUGAAUUAUGUACUUUUUGAGCUUCUGAAAAGAUGAUUUUCCAUCCACGAAAAUAAAUCAGCAUUUUCUUAUCGGGCAACCUGUGAAAGACCUUGGGCAUAUAAAUUGGACCUGUACAAUCUGCACACAUUGAUCCAGCUGUGGUUCUGUUAUAUACAGAUCUUAUAUGUCUGAGAAAAACAUGCAGACAAAACCUUAUGUUUACAUGACUCUGUGGCCUGUUACAAAGUGAAGGGACAUGUCCAGUGUCAUGGAAACUUUAUUAUUGCUCCCAGUUGAUGAAAUUCUCUUUAUUGGCAGCAAUAUAUCCUUGAUAUCCUUCUUUUCACAAAAAGAACAUAAUUGUGUUUAUUUAUUGUUUCUAUCAGGAAAUUCAGAGAAUACAGAACAGUUUUCCAUGGCGGAGAGUGCAGUGAAUGUUUUUCCUCGCAAGUGAUUGCAGCAGCACUGAGAUCAGAACAGAACCUGCUUUUGCAUGUAAUUACCAACAAAACAUCCACCAUCUCAAAUCCAGAGGGACCUCACACAGAUGCUUAAAACACCUCUUUGGGAGCUGCCCAUGCUGCACACACAAAUGGUUACAAGCCCGUGUCCUAAAACAACAGCAGAUCUGUGAUGUGGCUGUGAGGAAAGGAUUACACUCCUUUUCCUUCCAAGCAGCUCGUGGUCUCCUUCCCCAGGCAAAUACUCUCUUGGAUCUGAAAGGAACAAGGCAAAGCAGUACCCUCUAGUGUGCUCCCUGUGUGAGGCCAGGAGGCAGCUGCCCACCUGUGGCCUAGCAGGGUUUGCUGAGCCCACACAAGCCCACUAUGGGGCUUGCCAUUUUGCCAUGCCCCCGUGCAGUUCCGUUCAAGAGCUUUUGAUUUGGUUUGGGGGGAUGGUAGGGGAAGGGAAGUGCCUUCUUUUUUUUUUUCCUCAGCUGGGGACUUCAAAUGUGUCAUUUUCUUCUGUCAUCUUAAGUCUCCAAUCAGGGGCAAUUAUGAUAUUUUAUUAUGUAAAUAUUAAAGACAAUUGCAAAGCUUUAAUUAAAGCCAACUUUGUUUCUUCUCUCCUUCCCUCCCUCCCUCUUCCCGAUUUAGUCAGGGACACAAUAAACUUAAUCAGCUGCCCCAAAUUAUGCAUGCAUUAGCCCGUGAGAUUCAGCAGGACUGGGCUUCUCAAGGACAAAGAAAUAUACUGAGCUCCAGCAUCUCACUUUGUUUUCUCCAGCCAUCUUUUGUGGUGUGUCAUGGGAAAAAUUCUAAUGAGGCUCUCUCUGCUGCUGCUGAAAUUCCUGUCAGACACAAGCGUUGGCUCCUUCUGCUCUUUAUUUCCCAGAUACGAGUUUUCUGUUAUCCUGUCCUUCUGUGAGGAACGAAAGCCACACUGCCAAAACAUGUGCACUGGGAUAGACUGAAUUGACACUAGCUGAUUACAACAUAUUUGGUGAUCACAACAAAUAUAGUUUCACAUUUCUGGAAUUAAUUUUCCUCCCUUCUCACAAAACUUAAAGUGUGCCAAAGAAUGCAUGUUAGUUUGCAUCUGUGGAAUUGUUUCUCCACAUGUACUUUUACUGUACUGGAUUUGAUUGUACUUGUUACAUAGGGUGUUUGUUGUUUUUGUUGUUGUUGUUGUUUCUUUUUUAAAUAUCCGCUAUAAAGCAGAGUAUGUGACAUAAAGUCUUCUAGGAAAAUUUCUGGCUCACUGGAGAUUCAGAAAAAUUUUCUAACUCUUCCUUCCUAUGUCUCUUCCAGCAAGCAAAACUCCAAUUAGCAAAUCUGCUCGAAUUAGCAAAGUGUCAGGAGGGAGAUAGCCACAGCCCUCCUGACUGAUCACUAAGAGGGGAGGUGCAGUCUGAUCUCUUUCUUCUCUUUCAUUAUGCAUGUACGUCACUGAGCACAGCCGUCAUUUUGAGCAUGUGCUGCAUGAUGGUGGCGGGGAGCUGCUUCAUCCAAAUGGUUGUGGGUGUUUUUGUUUGCUCAUUGACUGAAUAAUAGCUUGCUGCUGUUUGCAUUACGGAAAGAAAUCCUGGAAAUGCAGCCUUCUGGAAAUAUUUGUGCUUAUUUAUGUCAGUGUGGCUGUCUCUUUUUAAGAAGGCAAACUAAAAAUAGGAAUUUCUCCUGGUCUCUGGCUGGCUUGCUUGCCAGAGUGCCAAGCAUAGCUUAACAACGCAGAGGCUCAGUGUAUGCCCUGUCUGGGAGAGGACCAAGAGGAAACAAGAUUUUAGUCUGAAAACAUGAUGUCAUCCCAUCUACCAAACCAGCAUCCUUGCUUAAUUUCUGAGAUCAAUGUCAGAUAUGUAUGGAUCAAAACAGAAGGAGUUUGCCAUUAUAGAAAUGAAAUCUAUACAACUUAACACCUUUUCUGAGACACUAUCCACUAUUUAUCAAUAAAAUAAAUACAAUUGGUUCAGUUCUACCUUUGUAUUCUGCUACUGUGAGCCCUCCACCCAUGGUCAAGGCCAGGGGCAAUACUGCUCCACUGUGAGGUUGGGAACCAUUCAAGAGUAGGUCUCUGACAAGGGUGAGCUCAAGGAAGAGUGGGAAAAAAACUUUCUCUGCAGUCUAGGUGAAUCAGCUCAUGUCAGCCAAUGUGAAUCCAGAGGGGUUCCCCAAGCAAAGCUGAGAAUUUUUUAUCCUAUUACCACUGUCUCAUACUUAGGAUUUGUUUUCAAAGCAGGAAGGUGUUAAUUUUACUGUACAUUAACUCACUUGUUUUCUCAAGAUCAGUUAGGUGUCUAGUAUAAACUACCUGUUUGAGAUACAAUGCUUACUUUAAUUACCUGCCUAAGAGUAAGAUCUACAGAUGCCUAGGAUCUAUACACAUUUUAACUGAUGAAGAUGUGACUAAUUAUUUCCUACUAACAAUACCUUUUCUUCUAGUAAAGCAAGUCUUAAGCUCUUCUUAAAUACUACUAAUGUACUCUGGAGAUACCAAUUGCUGAUAGCAAAUUUAUUAUUUGGUUGCAGUAUAGUGAAUUUUAGCUGUGUUUUAAGCCCCAAAUUUCUAAGCCAAUAAAAUCUCAGUUAAUUUGGAUGAAUCUUCCCCUUUUGUUGCUAUAAUUAUACCAAGGUUUAUUACACUUCUCAGCAGAAAAUUUUGGCAAUUGGGAACAAGCAGAAGAAUAAAUUUACAGUCAGAAAAAAUAUUAAAUACUUGAGCUUUUAAAAUGGAUGAGACUAAGCUGAUUUUCAAACACAUGGUUAGUAGGACAUAUUAUAUUCAUUUACAUGAUAAGUGACUUUUUGCCUCUUAAGCCCAGAACAAGUAAGAGCACAACAACAACUAAGUCUUCUGACAAUCUCAUAUUUAGGUUUUAGGGUUUUGCCAUUCAGCAUUUACAUUUAAUCUUCUAACUCAGACGAAAUAUACCCUUUGGUCUAGCUGGUUGUAUUAUUUUUUUUAAUGGAGCAAUCAUCAGAAUUCAGUUAAAAAAGAGAAAGUCUUGCUCAGUAAUAAAAUUGCAAAAGUUCUGCCUUUUAUAUCUUGGCAUUGCUUGCUUGCCUGUUGUGUAAUAUAUUAAACUGUUAUUUGUUUGAGGUUUUAAUGCUCAACUCUCACUAGCAGGACUAAUGCAAUGAAGACCCAAAGGAUUUGACUUUGUUGUGAUAAGCUGAAGUCUCCAUCAAAGUAAAUGUAAUGCAUUUCCUGAAUCUCUGGACAAAAGUUAUUGCAAUAUCUUUAGUGCAGUUGUGUUAAAGAGGCUAAUUAAAAUAAUACAAUGGGAAAUUGCUCAGUAUAGUACUACACAAAUAAGGUAUGGAAGUUUUCUGCAUGCUACAAAAUAGCCAGCCUGUUGAGUAGGUCUUUGCUAUCCCAGGUGAAGCUAAUAAGGAAGCAGCUGCCACCUAAGGAAAAUCAGAAGGCAGCCGCUCUCAAGGCAGACAGGUGUUCAGAGUGCAUAGAGAAAGGAUAAAAUUGUUAUGUGCAUAUGAAAGAAGAAGGGAGAAUGAGCUGGUGUGUGACAGUUGGAUCAUUCAAGCCACUGUAGAGGAAAGGCAAAGAUAACAUAGGAAAAAAAGUGGGGUAGAUGCAGGUCUUCCUCUAUGCUUUGUUAUGCAGAGCAUCACUGAAGGGCUGAAGAUGAAGUGCCAGGCCCAAUAAGGGCAGGGCAUGGUAUGGCCCUCCAAUUGCCUACAAACCCAGAAAGGCCUGUAGGCAAUUCAUACUAACUUUAGAUAUACGGUUUCUGAAAUGUGGUAUGUUACGAAAUGUGGUAACAGAGAAGAGGAAACACAAAGUGUUUGAGGCAUUCCAGUAGUUCUUCAUAGGUCCUAACACCAGGCUGUUAUGAAACUAGAACCAAAUGCCUAUUCUAUCAUGAAACCACUUGACCUUGCUGCAAUACAAUGCUGAGAAAAUUGAGUAAGGUCAGAAGCAUCAUGGAAUGAUAGCAGAUGAGGAAUUGUUUUGCUUUUAAACUUUCAUGAAAAAAGAAGGAAGUAAACAUUAGGAGCAUGUAUGGUAGAAAUCCUGGAGUAUGACUUCUACUCUGGAAAACAAACAGACAAAUAACUAUAAACAAACAAA